rnacentral:lncRNA from 1 species
UGAGUGUAGGUUGUUUGUUAUUUUGGGUAAGAAUUUUAGUUUAAGGGAAACACAAGUUUGUUAGUGCACAAAUGCUAAAAUAGUGUUUUCAACACAAUUUUGACUGUGCAAAGGGCGGGGGGGAAGUUAUAAGGAUAUAGGGAUUAGCUACUUGCUAUAAAGCCAGAGCAGAAAUCCUACAGAGCAGAAGGAAAAUUCUGGAACUCCGAAGAGGAUACAGGCAGUUUCUGCUCAGGGAGAAACAGUUAAUCAGCCAGGAGCUUGGUCUGAAUCUAGUCUUUCUAGGGUGGACCUAGAUAGCUAGAUACUCUCUAUCCUGUGGCUUUUCCUUGUGAUCCAGCCCAUCCCUGUGAAUCCUGCUGAAGCUGAGAGUGUUUUCCUACAGAGCUGCUCAAGACUCCAGAGUACAACUGUCAGUGAGACUUCCUUUGACCCUUGUUCCUGCUACCUUCAGGAAACACGAGAAAGAAAAGAGAGAAAGAAAGAAAGGAAGGAAGAGAGAAAGAAAGAGAAGACAUUUGAUAUCAGGUGAAUGACAAAAAGCCUCCUUUCAGGUUCGCUUCAAAAACAGUCCUAAAUUUAAGUCAUAUAGUUCCUUUUCUGUCUUCUGAAUUACUUUCCCUCUCAGCAGCAACAAGCUGACUCACCUCUCUUCUCUCUUCUCACCACCUACACUUUAUCUCUUCUCAGUAAAUGCUAUUCUAUGUGCAUGUAUUUAUGUAUUUGUUAAUUAGACAUAUUUUAGAUAGAAAGGGUGACUUUGGGGGAGGUUCGAGUAUGCUCUGUCAUUUCCCCAUUAAAUGAUAAAUGUAUUACACCCUAGUCUUUCUUAAAGGGAUGUGUCCAUAUAAUGAGGGCAUGAAUGUAUUUACCAGUAUUUGACUUGAUUUUUCAUUUUCUAAGUUCUCUUUUUAUCUUUGGAUGGUGGCACAAUUGAACUCUGAAAUGGCUAAAAGUACAUCAUCAGGAGAGAUAGUAAAAGCUAACAUUUAUUAACAUUUUAAGGUUUUAAACGAUACCUAGAAAUUAUGUAUUUCACCUCAUGUGAUCCUCAAAACAACCUGGUGAGGGAGAUGACUUUAUUAUUGCCAUUUAAAAAAAGAGGAAACUGAGACAGGUUAAAUGGGUCACAUAGCUAGUAAGUAUCUGAAGCAGGAUUUGAAUUCAAGUCUUCUUGACUCCAAGUAUAGCACUCUACAUAUUUUUCUGCCUAACUAACUUGAAAGAGGACAAAAUAAAGCAUAUUCUGUCUAAUUCA